CAAGUACCGUGGAGGGAAAGUUGAAAAAGAACUUGAAGAGAGAGUUCAUAAGAACGUGAAACCGCUCGGUUGUAAACGGACAGAGCUCGCGAAUCCCCGCCGGGCGAAUUCACGGUCGGUCUAACCGCCGGCCGGAUCUUUCGCUCGGUUAGCGGACGUCGCGACCCGUUGGGCGCCGGCCGAAUGGCCCGGGUGACGUUCGUCGCGUCGGUCGCGUUUCGGCGUGACCGUUCGCGCCGAGCCCCGGUGCUCAUGGUCGGCUCGCCCGACGGCAAGAACCGUCGACGCGGCCCCGUCGCAGGCGGGGUCCCGUCGGUCGGCGACGUGUUUCGAGCUACUUUCCGACCCGUCUUGAAACACGGACCAAGGAGUCUAACGUGUGCGCGAGUCAACGGUGAUCUUACGAAAAACCACGUUUGGCGCAAUGAAAGUGAACCGUUUACGGUGCGGACGAUGGCCUAGCGACCGAACCCACCGGCGUUCAAAGUCGCGCUGGUCCGCAGUCCGGGGGCGUCUCCGCCAAGUCGGCUUCGGCCGGCUGGGGGCGCACCCUUAGCGCACACGUUGGUACCCGAAAGAUGGUGAACUAUGCCUGGCCAGGAUGAAGUCAGGGGAAACCCUGAUGGAGGUCCGCAGCGAUUCUGACGUGCAAAUCGAUCGUCUGAGCUGGGUAUAGGGGCGAAAGACUAAUCGAACCAUCUAGUAGCUGGUUCCAUCCGAAGUUUCCCUCAGGAUAGCUGGCGCCGAUGUGUCCCGCCCGUUCGCGGGCGUACGGACGCCGGUGGGACUCCGACGCUGUACGGCGCGGUAACAACACGCUCGUAACACGGAG
rnacentral:ncRNA from 1 species